rnacentral:ncRNA from 2 species
CAGAGAUAGUCGGGGGGCCUAUAGGCUGAGAUCGUAUUAACGAGACCCGUUGAACCUGAUCCAAUUAAUAUUGGCGGAGGGAACUAUGCGUUUUGUUGA